GGAAAGGGGACGAGAAAGGUGAGAGCCAGAGAGGGGCGCGGAGGGGAAGAGUGACGAGUGGAGGAGUUGCAGCUGACAGCAGACGCCUCUCAAUUCCUCGUCCACAAACGGAGCACAACAGGGCUGGGGUGGACGGCGGAGGCAGAGCGCUCGCCACUGCGCGUGAGGCACCUCUUGGAUCCUCGGCACCACGUGUCAUUGCGUCCACCUACAACUAAGAAUGAACAUCAGCACACAAAACCAAA